CUACUUCCCCACUGGACGUCCAGGAUUCUGAGGGCUUUCAGAAGAGAAUCUUGACACAUGAUUCUUAAUCAACCAGACGCGACCCUUUCUUUGAAGCGAUAACUUCAUUCAUAGGGUUGGCCAGGAACAGAUGAUCCUCCUUCUGAAGUAUAGUCAGAAGACCAGUAGUAGCCUAAUGCUUCAUCACGAUGCCUAUGGCAUUUAUCUCACUCUAUCUCAUCAUGUAGGCCUUUUAUCACCUCACAUCCUCACAAGAAGAAGGCUAAUGAUGUCUUUUACACAUCAUUGCAUCUAUUCGUUGGAAA